CAAAAAAUCCGAAGUUGAUCUGCCAGCUCCUGCCUCAAGAGAUGAACUAGGUUUCAGUUUCUACUAGAUUAGUUGUUCAGCAAGAAUUCUUUCAUAGGAUUUGUGAAGAAGGAUGUUAUGGCUGUUCCAGGUGAAAAUAAUGGAGCACGGAGUCGAUCUGGUGGGUUGAGCAUUUUCUUGCAAGCCCAGAUGGUCAUGUUGUCAUUGGUGGAGUUGCAGGCCUACUGGUGGCGGCAAGUCUUGUUGAGGUUCCAGUGUAUAAGCUCAUGGCGAGCAAAUUCUGUGCAGCAAUUGAGGAGGCUUUCCUGGUUUCUUUAUGCUCCAAAUGGAUGGGGUGUGUUCUGUGGAGAAGUCUGUCAAUAAGCAGUUUGUCGCUGAUGGAACACAUGAAGUGACUUGUUCUAAUACUGAGCAAGAGUGCCAAUCUAACAACUGAGAAGCACAUUUUCAGUGAUGGGUAGAUGAAUUGUCAGCUUCGCAUUCAAGAGAUUUCCAGCAGGUUGCAUAUGAGGUCGGGAUUUACUAGGUUUGGAUAAAGAGGGCGUUGGAAGUGUAAUGCCUUAGAUGCAACCGGAGGUAAUUAAAUAUGUGCCGUGGAUCUGGUGGAGACUAGGUUUAUCACUCCUCUUCUGUUGGCGCCAAGCACUGGGUUGUUGGCCUACUGCGAGCCUCCUCCCUCGAGUGCUAGAACCAACUACGAGCGGCGGAGAAGAACAGGGGUGUGCCACCGGGGUGAGGUAAUUGUGGCACUGGUGGGAGAGGGCGCUCAUCAAGGCUAGCGGCUGGAAGGCAAGGGAUUGGGAAGUCUGGUUGCCGGCAGUGGGGAGGCAGGAGAAGGAUGUUUGGCCAGAGAGUAAACGAGGGCGGUAGAAAGUGGGAAGGUCGAGAGUGGGGAGGCAGGCGAGGACUGUCCAAAUUUGGGUGGGAGUUUUUUUAUUAUUUUAGUGUCAUCGAGUCAAGGAAAGUUUUAUGUUAAGUAAGGCUUAAAAAGGAAGUUCGGUUAUACGUAUAUGUGGCUGCAAAAGUACGGCUGAUUGAUAUAUAUACCAGUAUCUCAAUGCAUUUUAAAACUUUAUGGUUGCUAGAAAAUUGUGGCUUCUUGAAAUGCAUUUUAAUUCAAUAUUGAACUA